rnacentral:rRNA from 1 species
CCUACGGGAGGCAGCAGUGGGGAAUAUUGCGCAAUGGGCGAAAGCCUGACGCAGCGACGCCGCGUGAGGGAUGAAGGUCUUCGGAUCGUAAACCUCUGUCAGCAGGGAAGAACGGUCACUGUGCUAAUCAGCAGUGAAUUGACGGUACCUGCAAAGGAAGCACCGGCUAACUCCGUGCCAGCAGCCGCGGUAAUACGGAGGGUGCGAGCGUUAAUCGGAAUUACUGGGCGUAAAGCGCUCGUAGGCGGUAUGUCAAGUCAAGGGUGAAAUCCCCGCGCUCAACGUGGGACCGGCCUUUGAAACUGGCAGACUGGAGUGUGUGAGAGGAUAGUGGAAUUCCAGGUGUAGGAGUGAAAUCCGUAGAUAUUAGGAGGAACACCAGUGGCGAAGGCGGCCUGCUGGACGGUGACUGACGCUGAGGCUCGAAAGCGUGGGGAGCAAACAGGAUUAGAUACCCGUGUAGUC